ACGCUCGACACCUACGGGAGGCAGCAGUCGGGAAUAUUGCGCAAUGGAGGAAACUCUGACGCAGUGACGCCGCGUGCAGGAAGAAGGUUUUCGGAUUGUAAACUGCUUUAGACAGGGAAGAAAAAGGACAGUACCUGUAGAAUAAGCUCCGGCUAACUACGUGCCAGAAGCCGCGGUAAUCUGAGCGGGCUGGCAAGGC
rnacentral:rRNA from 1 species